AUCCCUAUGUGUCAUCCUGGGUGCGCGAGCAUUAGCCCGGCGCAUGUGCGUGCACGUACAGUGUGUGUUUGAAGAGGGGCCUGCGCUGCAGUCAGAAUAAUUUAACGUCCAGAUGUGCUGAAGCUUUGGGGAAAUCGAUACGGACGAUGGCUCCCAAGCAGUGGGAGGCUUAACGAUAGAUAUGCAGAAACAACCCCCUUAUCUCCACAUCCCACCACACGGUGCGCUGACAGAGAAUCGCACAAGACAAAAGACAAAGGUAGGCAACGGCACGCCGGUGUGGAACAAUGAGGUUUAAAUACAACCAAAUACAACCUAGUGGUUAUCGCACCAACUCUGUCACACACAGAACAGCGUUGAUUUAACCUUAUUUUCAGCUGUGCAGUACAGUGACGGUUAAAAAACACACCCGAGGAGCGAGGUGUACUUUGAGAAUAUCUGCA
ensembl:lncRNA